rnacentral:rRNA from 1 species
UACGGAGGGUGCAAGCGUUGUCCGGAAUCACUGGGCGUAAAGGGCGCGUAGGCGGCUCAUGAAGGCUGUGGUGAAAGUCCGGGGCUCAACCUCGGAUCGGCCGUGGCGACUCGUGGGCUGGAGCACUGUAGAGGCGGGUGGAAUUCCCGGUGUAGCGGUGAAAUUCGUAGAUAUUGGGAAGAACACCGGUGGCGAAGGCGGCUCACUGGCUCGUAACUGACGCUCAUGCACGACAGCGUGGGGAUCAAACAGG